GUCCACGCCGUAAACGGUGGGAACUAGGUGUUGGCGACAUUCCACGUCGUCGGUGCCGCAGCUAACGCAUUAAGUUCCCCGCCUGGGGAGUACGGCCGCAAGGCUAAAACUCAAAGGAAUUGACGGGGGCCCGCACAAGCAGCGGAGCAUGUGGCUUAAUUCGACGCAACGCGAAGAACCUUACCAAGGCUUGACAUAUACCGGAAAGCAUCAGAGAUGGUGCCCCCCUUGUGGUCGGUAUACAGGUGGUGCAUGGCUGUCGU
rnacentral:rRNA from 1 species